rnacentral:rRNA from 1 species
AUUGAACGCUGGCGGCAGGCCUAACACAUGCAAGUCGAGCGGUAACAGGAGAAAGCUUGCUUUCUUGCUGACGAGCGGCGGACGGGUGAGUAAUGUAUGGGGAUCUGCCCGAUAGAGGGGGAUAACUACUGGAAACGGUGGCUAAUACCGCAUAAUGUCUACGGACCAAAGCAGGGGCUCUUCGGACCUUGCACUAUCGGAUGAACCCAUAUGGGAUUAGCUAGUAGGUGGGGUAAAGGCUCACCUAGGCGACGAUCUCUAGCUGGUCUGAGAGGAUGAUCAGCCACACUGGGACUGAGACACGGCCCAGACUCCUACGGGAGGCAGCAGUGGGGAAUAUUGCACAAUGGGCGCAAGCCUGAUGCAGCCAUGCCGCGUGUAUGAAGAAGGCCUUAGGGUUGUAAAGUACUUUCAGCGGGGAGGAAGGUGAUAAGGUUAAUACCCUUGUCAAUUG